rnacentral:tRNA from 1 species
GCCGCGAUAGCUCAGUUCUGGCAGAGCGCAGGGCUGUUAACCCUGUGGUCGGAGGUUCGAGUCCUCCUCGCGGCG